rnacentral:rRNA from 1 species
CCGGCGACCGGCGCACGGGUGAGUAACACGUAUGCAACCUGGCCGUGACAGAUGGAUAACCGGGAGAAAUCCCGCCUAAUACAACAUAAUGCCGGGAGGGGACAUCCCCUGCCGGCCAAAGGGGGCGACCCCGGUCAUGGAUGGGCAUGCGGCGCAUUAGGUAGUUGGUGGGGCAACGGCCCACCAAGCCGACGAUGCGUAGGGGUUCUGAGAGGAAGGUCCCCCACAUUGGAACUGAGACACGGUCCAAACUCCUACGGAAGGCAGCAG